UGUGUUUGUCGUCUGGAUUUGUUUUCCUUUAAGUUCCUUUUGCUAGUUGAUUUGUUUGGAUAUAAUAAUAUAAAUCAAAAUAAGAGGGCAAUAUACUUUUUCAGAUGAUAAAUAAAAGUUGAAAUGUUUCAAACACAAUUUUUUUAACUAGUGAAGUAAAGGAACUGUAAUGCAGGUGAAUGUGAUGAGUGGGCCCACACUUCCAAGUUGCUUAUGUUAAUAGGUUUCAUUAAGUUGGUACAUAGAUGGUGAUUUGCGAGCUAUAAGAAGUCCUAUGCUUUGGUGUUAGCAUAUGAUAGAUCACUGCUAUUAUAGUUGAGUAUAUGUGGCAGAGA
rnacentral:misc_RNA from 1 species